rnacentral:rRNA from 1 species
CAGCCGCCACGGUAAUACGAAGGGGGCUAGCGUUGCUCGGAAUCACUGGGCGUAAAGGGUGCGUAGGCGGGCCUUUAAGUCAGGGGUGAAAUCCUGGAGCUCAACUCCAGAACUGCCUUUGAUACUGAAGAUCUUGAGUUCGGGAGAGGUGAGUGGAACUGCGAGUGUAGAGGUGAAAUUCGUAGAUAUUCGCAAGAACACCAGUGGCGAAGGCGGCUCACUGGCCCGAUACUGACGCUGAGGCACGAAAGCGUGGGGAGCAAACAGGAUUAGAUACCCCAGUAGUCCCUGUCUCUUAUAC